UGGGGAAUUUUGGACAAUGGGCGCAAGCCUGAUCCAGCAAUGCCGCGUGCAGGAAGAAGGCCUUCGGGUUGUAAACUGCUUUUGUACAGAGCGAAAAGGCUCUCUCUAAUACAGGGGGGCUGAUGACGGUACCGUAAGAAUAAGCACCGGCUAACUACGUGCC
rnacentral:rRNA from 1 species